UCACUGGAGGACUAGUGGUAAGGCCUCAGCGCUCUCACUGCUGCGGCCUGGGUUCAAACCCUGGCCAGGGAA